rnacentral:rRNA from 18 species
CUCAGUUCGGAUUGAAGUCUGCAACUCGACUUCAUGAAGUUGGAAUCGCUAGUAAUCGCGCAUCAGCAAUGGCGCGGUGAAUACGUUCCCGGACCUUGUACACACCGCCCGUCAAGCCAUGGAAGUUGGGUAUACCUGAAGAUGGUUGCUGUUUAGGCGCUGUUUAGGGUAGAACCAGUAACUGGGGCUAAGUCGGAACAAGGUAGCCGUACCGGAAGGUGCGGCUGGAACACCUCC